CAGCCGCCACGGUAAUACAGAGGAUGCAAGCGUUAUCCGGAAUGAUUGGGCGUAAAGCGUCUGUAGGUGGCUGUUCAAGUCCGCCGUCAAAUCCCAGGGCUCAACCCUGGACAGGCGGUGGAAACUACCAAGCUGGAGUACGGUAGGGGCAGAGGGAAUUUCCGGUGUAGCGGUGAAAUGCGUUGAGAUCGGGAAGAACACCAACGGCGAAAGCACUCUGCUGGGCCGACACUGACACUGAGAGACGAAAGCUAGGGGAGCAAAUGGGAUUAGAUACCCCCGUAGUCCCUGUCUCUUAUAC
rnacentral:rRNA from 1 species